rnacentral:rRNA from 1 species
UACAGAGGUCUCAAGCGUUGUCCGGAAUUAUUGGGCGUAAAGAGCUCGUAGGCGGUGUGUCACGUCGGCCGUGAAAACCUGCAGCUUAACUGUGGGCGUGCGGUCGAUACGGGCAUCACUGGAGUUCGGCAGGGGAGACUGGAAUUCCUGGUGUAGCGGUGAAAUGCGCAGAUAUCAGGAGGAACACCGGUGGCGAAAGGCGGGGUCUCUGGGCCGAUACUGACGCUGGAGGGAGCGAAAAGCGUGGGGAGCAAACAGG